rnacentral:RNase_P_RNA from 1 species
UGAGUUUUCCAGGCGAUCGCGGUGAAAUGUACCGAGGUCUAUAUUUUAUUGGCUUGCUGGCGUUUUAUCGAGGAAAGUCCGGACUCCACAGAGUGCGGUGGUUGCUAACGGCAACCCGGAGCAAUCCGCGGGCAAGUGCCACAGAGAGAAGACCGCCCAGUAAUGGGUAAGGGUGAAAGGGUGCGGUAAGAGCGCACCAGCAUGGUAGGUGACUAUCGUGGCUAGGUAAACCCCACCGGGAGCAAGGUAAGAAGAUACGCAUUAAGCGUAUCUGCGCGGACGCUUGAAGGCUACUCGCUUGAUGUUCGCGGGUGACUGCUUGAGGCGAACUUCGUUCGUCCAGAUGGAUGAUCGCCACCGUGACAUAACGGUACAGAAUCCGGCUUAUCGGAAAACUCUUUCG